rnacentral:rRNA from 1 species
UCCGGGAGGCAGCAGGGGGGAAUUUUCCGCAAUGGGCCAAACCCUGCCGGAGCAAUCUCGCGUGAGGGAUGACGGCCUAUGGGUUUUAACCCUCUUUUUUCAGGGAGGAAUAAAAUGACGUGUACCUGAAGAAUAAGCAUCGGCUAACUCCGUGCCAGCAGCCGCGGUAAGACGGAGGAUGCAAGUGUUAUCCGGAAUCACUGGGCGUAAAGCGUCUGUAGGUGGUUUAGUAAGUCAACUGUUAAAUCUUGGAGCUCAACUUCAAAAUCGCAGUCGAAACUAUUAGACUAGAGUAUAGUAGGGGUAAAGGGAAUUUCCAGUGGAGCGGUGAAAUGCGUAGAGAUUGGAAAGAACACCGAUGGCGAAGGCACUUUACUGGGCUAUUACUGACACUCAGAGACGAAAGAUAGGGUAGCAAAUGGGCUUAGAUACCCCACUAGUCCUUCCCCUUUCAAUGGAUACUAGAUGUUGAACAGAUCGACC